ACUCAGUCUAUAACAUGGCCUACUUCUAGGGGAAUAUAAUCCUUCCUGGAAUCCCUCUUGGACAGAAUUUAAAGCAGCUCCCAGCUAGCUCUCAUCACAAGUGUGGCGCAGACUUCAUUUUCUUUUUAUCCUGACCAGCUCUGCAGAGUACUUCAUUGGAUAUGACGCAACCAUUAAAAACUGGCCUAUGAAGAAAUGUUUGCAGCAUGUAUUGAAGAAAAGACUGUAAAGUCAGCUUUUACCUCAUGAUUUUAAAAUUUAAAAAAUCAUACUCAUAGACAAAGAAGACUAGAAAAAUUUGUAGACCAGAAGAAAAUAAACUUAAAUAUUAUUUGUGAUUAUUUCUAUACAACAGGACUGUUCUAUUACUAGUAUUUUUGUUUUCCCUGAAUUUUCUACUGUAAGCAUGCAUUUAUUUUUGAACAGAAUAAUAUUAAAAAGAUGUUACAUGAAAAUAAAAUGGAACUUGUCUAUAUUCA